AGUCGAGCGGAUGAGAGGAGCUUGCUCCCUCAAUUCAGCGGCGGACGGGUGAGUAAUGCCUAGGAAUCUGCCUAGUAGUGGGGGACAACGUUUCGAAAGGAACGCUAAUACCGCAUACGUCCUACGGGAGAAAGUGGGGGAUCUUCGGACCUCACGCUAUUAGAUGAGCCUAGGUCGGAUUAGCUAGUUGGUAGGGUAAAGGCCUACCAAGGCGACGAUCCGUAACUGGUCUGAGAGGAUGAUCAGUCACACUGGAACUGAGACACGGUCCAGACUCCUACGGGAGGCAGCAGUGGGGAAUAUUGGACAAUGGGCGAAAGCCUGAUCCAGCCAUGCCGCGUGUGUGAAGAAGGCCUUCGGGUCGUAAAGCACUUUAAGUUGGGAGGAAGGGCUUACAGCGAAUACCUGUGAGUUUUGACGUUACCGACAGAAUAAGCACCGGCUAACUUCGUGCCAGCAGCCGCGGUAAUACGAAGGGUGCAAGCGUUAAUCGGAAUUACUGGGCGUAAAGCGCGCGUAGGUGGCUUGAUAAGUUGGAUGUGAAAUCCCCGGGCUCAACCUGGGAACUGCAUCCAAAACUGUCUGGCUAGAGUGCGGUAGAGGGUAGUGGAAUUUCCAGUGUAGCGGUGAAAUGCGUAGAUAUUGGAAGGAACACCAGUGGCGAAGGCGACUACCUGGACUGACACUGACACUGAGGUGCGAAAGCGUGGGGAGCAAACAGGAUUAGAUACCCUGGUAGUCCACGCCGUAAACGAUGUCAACUAGCCGUUGGGAUCCUUGAGAUCUUAGUGGCGCAGCUAACGCAUUAAGUUGACCGCCUGGGGAGUACGGCCGCAAGGUUAAAACUCAAAUGAAUUGACGGGGGCCGCACAAGCGGUGGA
rnacentral:rRNA from 1 species